GGGGGAUUAGUGGCGAACGGGUGAGUAACACGUGAGUAACCUGCCCUUGACUCUGGGAUAAGCCUGGGAAACUGGGUCUAAUACCGGAUACGACCAUCUGACGCAUGUCAUGGUGGUGGAAAGCUUUUGUGGUUUUGGAUGGACUCGCGGCCUAUCAGCUUGUUGGUGGGGUAAUGGCCUACCAAGGCGACGACGGGUAGCCGGCCUGAGAGGGUGACCGGCCACACUGGGACUGAGACACGGCCCAGACUCCUACGGGAGGCAGCAGUGGGGAAUAUUGCACAAUGGGCGAAAGCCUGAUGCAGCGACGCCGCGUGAGGGAUGACGGCCUUCGGGUUGUAAACCUCUUUCAGUAGGGAAGAAGCGAAAGUGACGGUACCUGCAGAAGAAGCGCCGGCUAACUACGUGCCAGCAGCCGCGGUAAUACGUAGGGCGCAAGCGUUAUCCGGAAUUAUUGGGCGUAAAGAGCUCGUAGGCGGUUUGUCGCGUCUGCUGUGAAAGACCGGGGCUCAACUCCGGUUCUGCAGUGGGUACGGGCAGACUAGAGUGCAGUAGGGGAGACUGGAAUUCCUGGUGUAGCGGUGAAAUGCGCAGAUAUCAGGAGGAACACCGAUGGCGAAGGCAGGUCUCUGGGCUGUAACUGACGCUGAGGAGCGAAAGCAUGGGGAGCGAACAGGAUUAGAUACCCUGGUAGUCCAUGCCGUAAACGUUGGGCACUAGGUGUGGGGGACAUUCCACGUUUUCCGCGCCGUAGCUAACGCAUUAAGUGCCCCGCCUGGGGAGUACGGCCGCAAGGCUAAAACUCAAAGGAAUUGACGGGGGCCCGCACAAGCGGCGGAGCAUGCGGAUUAAUUCGAUGCAACGCGAAGAACCUUACCAAGGCUUGACAUGAACCGGAAAGACCUGGAAACAGGUGCCCCGCUUGCGGUCGGUUUACAGGUGGUGCAUGGUUGUCGUCAGCUCGUGUCGUGAGAUGUUGGGUUAAGUCCCGCAACGAGCGCAACCCUCGUUCUAUGUUGCCAGCGCGUUAUGGCGGGGACUCAUAGGAGACUGCCGGGGUCAACUCGGAGGAAGGUGGGGACGACGUCAAAUCAUCAUGCCCCUUAUGUCUUGGGCUUCACGCAUGCUACAAUGGCCGGUACAAAGGGUUGCGAUACUGUGAGGUGGAGCUAAUCCCAAAAAGCCGGUCUCAGUUCGGAUUGGGGUCUGCAACUCGACCCCAUGAAGUCGGAGUCGCUAGUAAUCGCAGAUCAGCAACGCUGCGGUGAAUACGUUCCCGGGCCUUGUACACACCGCCCGUCAAGUCACGAAAGUUGGUAACACCCGAA
rnacentral:rRNA from 1 species